AUGAGCAGGCACAACACCCGCAAUAAGAACAAGAGGCCACGCGCCGAUGAGUCUGCGAGCCCGUCUUAUGCUGCUCUCAAGAGGAUACAUUCCACUGGCGCCAUCACGCAAGAUGAUAUUAGGCAACUUUACAGCGUGUGGAAGCCGGUUUGCCAGGGCUGCCAUGGGAACACCAAGGACUCACCCAAUUGUUUCUGCGGGUUGAUCCCCACCACCGGUGGGACGAGGAAGACUGGCCUCUGGCAGAAAAAUGGCGAGCAUGUCGGUAGCCUCGGCCCUGACCCAUCCAAGGACCUCCGUGCUUCCACUGAGACGCCUGCUGGAUUGACUAAUCUGGGCGCGACAUGUUAUGCUAACAGCAUACUUCAGUGCCUCUAUAUGAACACUUCCUUCCGUUCAGGCAUUUUCUCGCUAGAGCCAGACAUCUUGAAGAAGCAACCUGUUCUCGAUCAGCUGGCUCGAUUAUUUGCGCAGCUACACUCCAGCAAAAUGGCUUUCAUUGAUUCAGCACCUUUCAUCAAGACCUUGGAACUAGACAACGGUGUCCAGCAGGACAGUCACGAAUUUCUCACCUUGUUUUUGUCUCUGCUCGAGCGUUCGUUAAGUUACUCCAAGGUCGCUGUUGCAAAAACUAUUGUGCAAGAUUUAUUUCGUGGAAGUGUGUCGCAUGUGACUCGGUGUUCAUCAUGUGGAAGGGAUUCUGAAGCAUCUUCAAAAAUGGAAGACUUCUAUGAACUGGAACUGAAUAUUAAAGGUUUAAGUAAUUUAGAGGAAAGUCUGGAUGACUAUUUGAGCGUGGAGGCACUGAAUGGGGAGAACCAAUAUUCCUGCGAGUCAUGUCAGAAAAGGGUAGACGCCACCCGUUGUAUAAAACUUCGCUCGCUUCCUCCUGUUGUUAAUUUUCAGCUGAAGCGAUAUGUAUUCCUACCAAAGACAACAACGAAGAAAAAGAUUUCUUCAUCAUUCAGUUUUCCGGGACAGCUAGAUAUGGGGAAGCGGUUGUCGGAUCCUUCAUCCAAUUACAUUUAUGACCUGGCUGCUAUUUUGAUUCAUAAGGGUAGUGCUGCUAAUAGUGGUCACUAUGUGGCACAUAUAAAGGAUGAAAGCAAUGGUCACUGGUGGGAGUUUGAUGAUGAGUGUGUAUCCAGCCUUGGUUUUCACCCUUUUGGUGAAAAACCAGGCAAGUCAUCUGAUAAAGCGGAUCGGAAAUCUGAAGGUACUUCUACCGAAGGUUCUGUGGCAAAUGGUAAUAACAGUAGCCAUCAUGAGGCUGCACCGACUUCUAAUAUGGGAGAGAUGUUCUCUUCCACUGAUGCUUACAUGCUAAUGUACAAACGUUCGAGCAAGGAUGAAAAUGGUAUUAAAAGCAAUAAUAUUGUGGAAGCCAGUAAUAGUUCACUUCCACGCCAUCUGAUGGAUGAGAUUGAUGCUUUGAAUGCAUCAUGUGUAAACGAAUGUGGCGAGUACCUAAGUAAAAAAGAUAACCUUUUGGCUUCCAUACAAGAAAGGCGCCAAGAAGUAAAAUCUGUUAUUACAGAAGCACCUGCUACUCCAGACGAUGAUUCAUAUUUUUGGAUUUCACUAGACUGGCUUCGCCAAUGGGCGGAUAAUGCUACCCCUCCCUCUUCCAUUGACAACAUUCCAAUUCAGUGUGAACAUGGAAAAGUUCCAGCAUCUAAAGUCACAUCCAUGAAGCGGUUAUCGGCUAAAGCUUGGGAGAAGCUACUUUCCAAAUACGGAGGAGGACCAACACUCAGCAAGGAUGAUGUUUGCAAGGAGUGUCUCAAGGAUGUAGCAAAAACUGCAGUUUCUGCUGAUGUCUAUCGUGAUAGGAAAGCAUCGUUAAAGAAUCUUGCAGAAGCUGCACUUGCUGGAAGUAUUCCAGAAGGUCCUUCUUACUUUAUUUCGAAGACAUGGUUGUCCCAUUGGCUGCGAAGAAAAAAUGUGGAUAUCACUUUUGAUGCUGAUAAGGGACCAACAAGUGCUCUAAGAUGCAGCCAUGGGAAUCUUCUUCCAGAGCACGCUUCUGGGGCAAAGCGGGUAUCUGUGCCAGAGAGCCUAUGGCUAUUUCUCUAUGAAACCAUCGCAAAGGAAGCUGAUGAUAUUGUGACUUUUCCGUCAGAUACUCAACCAUGCGAGAUCUGUGACCACAAAUUGUCAGCUGUUGCUUCUGUUGAGGAUAGUCUUAGAGCGGUGAAACUGAAGCAACGACAGAGCCAUGAAAAGUUAAUCUCUGGGAAAGGCUUUGCACUUAAUCCUGGACAAAAAUAUUAUUUGGUUCCUUCGUCGUGGUUGUCAGAAUGGAGAGCUUACAUUACAGCGACUGGAAAAAAUGUUUCGUCGUUACCAGAACCUCAAAGUCUUGAAGUUGCUAUAAAUUCACUUAAAUGUGAAAAGCAUUCUAGAUUGUUGCAAAGGCCUUUGGAUAUAGUUUACAAGCGUGGGGGCAUCACCCAGAAAACAUCGAAUACUGAUGGGUUAGCAAUCAUCUCAGAAUCCGACUGGCAAUCAUUCUCUGAGGAGUGGAACGUUGCACAUGCAGAUGGCGCAUGUGCUGAAAUUGUUUUUAGCAAGAGCUCAGAGGAUAAACCGCACGAGUCAUCUGAAGCAAUGGUAAUAUUGGAUAAAGAUCCGGACCAGUUUAUUAAUGGUGCAAAUGGUGACUCGGAGGACUGUAGACCCUAUGUCAGAACUGAUCCUGAGGUUUGUGAAGAAUGUAUUGGAGAAAGAGAGAGCUGUGCAUUGGUGGAGAAACUCAAUUACCAGAACGAAGAUAUCCAUGUUUAUCUUGUGCGUGGGAAAGAAGCACCAAAGUCAAUUAGGGAGGCAUCUGCAGCUCUUCCUGUUCCAGAUCGCCGGACUUCAAAGCGUUCUCGGAGAACAACCACAGGGAACUCAAUCAGUUUGAAAGUCUCUGGUUCUACAACCGUCUAUCAGUUGAAACUCAUGAUAUGGGAAUCUUUAGGGAUUGUGAAGGAGAAUCAGAAGCUUCAUAAAGGCCCUCUUGAGAUCGAAGAGGAUUUUGCGACUCUUGCUGAUAAGUGCAUUUUCCCUGGGGAUGUUUUGUGGGUUAAAGAUUCUGAAUUGUUUGAGGACCGUGAUAUAGCAGAUGAAAUUUCAGAGCCGAAGGCUGAUGCACUACCUGCUGAGGAAGGCUUUCGUGGUACACUAUUGACAUCAAGUGUAUCAGCUCAGCUUUGUCAGGACAUAGUAUCGAGUGAAUGA
rnacentral:rRNA from 1 species